GCCCUAGUAACGGCGAGUGAAGCGGCAACAGCUCAAAUUUGAAAUCUGGCUCUUUCAGGGUCCGAGUUGUAAUUUGCAGAGGGCGCUUUGGCGUUGGCAGCGGUCCAAGUUCUUUGGAACAGGACGUCACAGAGGGUGAGAAUCCCGUACGUGGUCGCUAGCCUUCGCCGUGUAAAGCCCCUUCGACGAGUCGAGUUGUUUGGGAAUGCAGCUCUAAAUGGGAGGUAAAUUUCUUCUAAAGCUAAAUACUGGCCAGAGACCGAUAGCGCACAAGUAGAGUGAUCGAAAGAUGAAAAGCACUUUGGAAAGAGAGUCAAAUAGCACGUGAAAUUGUUGAAAGGGAAGCGCUUGCAGCCAGACUUGCCUGUAGUUGCUUAUCCGGACUUUUGUCCGGUGCACUCUUCUGCGGGCAGGCCAGCAUCAGUCUAGGCGGUUGGAUAAAGGUCUCUGUCAUGUACCUCUCUUCGGGGAGGCCUUAUAGGGGAGACGACAUGCAACCAGCCUGGACUGAGGUCCGCGCAUCUGCUAGGAUGCUGGCGUAAUGGCUGUAAGCGGCCCGUCUUGAAACACGGACCAAGGAGUCUAACAUCUAUGCGAGUGUUUGGGUGUCAAGCCCAGACGCGUAAUGAAAGUGAACGGAGGUGGGAACCCUUACGGGUGCACCAUCGACCGAUCCUGAUGUCUUCGGAUGGAUUUGAGUAAGAGCAUGGCUGUUGGGACCCGAAAGAUGGUGAACUAUGCUUGAAUAGGGUGAAGCCAGAGGAAACUCUGGUGGAGGCUCGCAGCGGUUCUGACGUGCAAAUCGAUCGUCAAAUUUGGGCAUAGGGGCGAAAGACUAAUCGAACUAUCUAGUAGCUGGUUCCUGCCGAAGUUUCCCUCAGGAUAGCAGUAACGUAUUCAGUUUUAUGAGGUAAAGCGAAUGAUUAGAGGCCUGGGGGUUGAAACAACCUUCACCUAUUCUCAAACUUUAAAUAUGUAAGAAGUCCUUGUUACUUGAUUGAACG
rnacentral:rRNA from 1 species